rnacentral:rRNA from 1 species
UACGUAGGUGGCAAGCGUUGUCCGGAGUUAUUGGGCGUAAAGCGCGCGCAGGCGGUGCGGUAAGUCUCUGGUGAAAGCGCUCGGCUUAACUGGGCGAGGGCCGGGGAGACUGCCACGCUGGAGGGGAGCAGAGGCGAGUGGAAUUCCGGGUGUAGUGGUGAAAUGCGUAGAGAUCCGGAGGAACACCAGUGGCGAAGGCGGCUCACUGGUCCAUUACUGACGCUGAGGUGCGAAAGCGUGGGGAGCAAACAGG